rnacentral:lncRNA from 1 species
GUUUAUUGGAGGCCGAUCCGCUUCUAAAUUGAUUGAAGUGUAAAAGCAGGAAAACGUUUACGCGGAAGAUUUCAGCUCCCCCAGGCUCGGCCUCCAGCGACUCGGCAGCUCGCGGCACCGCGCGGAGCAGCUAGGCCCCGCCGCGCCGGGCAGGAUGCGCGGCCGGCAUCGGCAGUUCGUCACGUCCCGCCCGGCCCCGCACGCCCGGCGGCUCCUCGGAAGGCCCAGAGGGGCCGAGCCCGCCCCAGGCCGCGUGUGGAGAGAAGGAAAAGGAGCCGCGGAGCGGGGCGGGCUCCGCCGUUAUGGCCGCCCCAGCAGGAGCAGCUCGGCGCAGCUCUCACACAUUGUUCAUUAACAGCAGCAGCCGCCGCCGCCGCCUCCUCCCAACCAUUGAUUGAUCCGCGCGGGGCCGCCGAUCGGUGAUUGAUGGGGGCCGGGGCGGGGGUCAG